AAGUCGUAACAAGGUUUCCGUAGGUGAACCUGCGGAAGGAUCAUUAUUGAAUAAACUUGAGCAGGCUGUUGCUGGUCUUGAAAAAGAGACAUGUGCACGCUUGUCAUUUUUAUUUUCUCCAACUGUGCACAUACUGUAGACCUGGAUUUUUAGGAACUGCUGUGCUCUUUUUAAAAAAAUAGAGAAAAAAACAGCUUUGCCUUUUCUAUUUUGUAUUUCAGUGUCUAUGUUUUCUUUAUCACAAUCUGGUUUAGAAUGUUCUAAUAAAAUAAAAUAUUUUAUACAACUUUCAGCAACGGAUCUCUUGGCUCUC
rnacentral:misc_RNA from 1 species